AUUUCCAGCAGCAAUCAUUUUGUGCUGGCAGCAACAGUCCUGGUGUGGAUCAACAAGCACAGCUACGAGAUAGGACUUGCUGUGGGGUUUUCUUGGUUCAACAAUUUAAUCCAGUAGUUGUUUACAUUAGAUCCAGCAGCAACUACAGUUGUGAAUUGAGGUAAGAGGACUUUGACGCGAGACGAGUAUCUCGGAGUCAGAUUUGGAUCAUUUUAUCGGAG